AUUGGGAAUUAUCCAUAUUUAUGGAAAAUCAAAGAUAUGGGUAUCAAAUAAUGGAAAGUCAAAGAUAUGGGUAUCAAAUAUUGGAAAGUCAAAGAUAUGGGUAUCAAAUAUUGGAAAGUCAAAGAUAUGGGUAUCGAGAUAUUGGCAUAAUAAAAUCUGAGAUAUUUGCAAUCAAUGGUCCCUAAAUUGUAAAGUGACUUUGCAAGUUGAUCCCUGAACCUCAACUAUAAGUAGGCAUAACCAUCUCUCAUUCUGUAUCUCAAACUUGCCAUUCUCUACUUAAGGCAUUGUUUUCUCUCUCUCUCUUUGUAAAUUCUCACUUGUAUUUUGGAGUGAAAUAUAUUUGGUAGUGCCCGAGGACGUAGGCAAAAUUUGCUGAACCUCGUUAAAUUCUUGUGUUCUUUAUUGUAUUAUUCUGCAUGAAUUGUGUGUGUGAUUGUAGUAAUUUAUUGUGCUAUUAAAUUACGAUUGAGGGAUAUUCUGGCUAGGAAAGACCUGGUACUUAAGCGAUCCUUGCGAUCCACCUCUCUUUCCUGGGAAUUGAACUUAGUGUGAUUUUUUAGUACAAUAAUUUUACUCUUUUACACGCUUCCGCACAAUAAUUGGUAUCAGAGCUAGAUUCGUACUUGGGGAAUACGAUCGUUCACGGCACUGUUCAUGUACUGUAGUUGGGAUUAAGGAGAAAAAAAUGGAAAAGUCAUCGUCAAAGACUACUGUGACCAAUGCGAAAUUUGAAGUAGAGAAAUUUGAUGGUACCAAUAAUUUUGGUAUGUGGCAAUGUGAGAUCCUGGAUGUCUUAUGUCAGCAAGAGCUGGAUAUAGCCCUUGAAGAAAAACCUGACAAGAUGGAUGACAAGGAGUGGGCCAAGAUCAAUAGACAGGCAUGUGGAACAAUUCGCCUAUGUUUGGCCAAAGAGCAGAAGUACUCUGUCAUGAGGGAGACAUCAGCGAAGAAGUUGUGGGAUACACUGGACCGAAAAGUUUCUAACAAAAAGUCUUGAAAAUAGGCUUUAUAUGAAAAAGAAACUUUAUCGAUUCACGUAUGCACCCGGUAUGUCGAUGAAUGACUAUGUGAACUCAUUCAAUAAAAUUUUAGCAGACUUGCUAAAUUUGGAUGAGAAAUUUGAAGAUGAAGACAAGGCAUUACUGUUGUUGAAUUCUCUUCCUGAUGAAUAUGAUCAUCUUACCACCACAUUGCUUCAUGGGAAGGAUACAAUCACAUUUGAUGUAGUCUGUAGUGCGUUGUAUAGAUCUAAGACUCGAAAGAAAGAUAAAAAAGAUCACAGAGAUACAACUACAGAAGUCUUAACAGUAAGAAGUCGUUCGCGCAGCAACAAAUCUGGUAGAAGGAGUAAGUCCAAAGGGAGACCUGCCAAAGAUGAAUGUGCUUUUUGUCGUGAGAAAGGGCAUUGGAAAAAGAAUUGUCCUAAGUUACAAAAGGGUAAAGCUAUUUCUGAUGCAUGUGUAGCGGAGCAUGAUGAGGAGUCAGACUUUAGCUUGGUUGGCAUGGCAAUGGCAUGUCAAACGGAUGAGUGGAUUUUGGAUUCAGGAUGUACUUACCAUAUGUGUCCUAAUAAGGACUGGUUUUCUAGUCUUAAAGAGCUAGAAGGUGGAAUUGUUCUUAUGGGAAAUGAUAGUGCUUGUAAGACAAUGGGAGUGGGUACAGUCCAAUUGAAGAAUCACGACGGCUCAAUCCAAGUCUUGACAGAUGUUCGCUACGUACCUAGCCUGAAGAAAAAUCUCAUCUCAUUAGGUGCCCUAGAAUCUAAAGGGCUCACAAUCACUUUGAGAGAUGGAUUACUAAAAGUAGUAGCUGGGCAACUGACGGUGAUGAAAGGCACAAGAAGAAAUAACUUGUAUUUUUUAAAUGGAAGUACAGUUAUUGGAUCAACAUCAACAGUUUCUACAAAAGAUGUAGAUUCAGAGGCUACCAGAUUAUGGCAUAUGCGAUUAGGACAUGCUGGUGAAAAAGCUUUGCAGACAUUGGUGAAGCAAGGCUUAUUGAAAGGUGCAAAUUCUUGCAAAAUGGAAUUCUGUGAACAUUGUGUUCUGGGCAAGCAGAAGAGGGUAAAAUUUGGUCCAGCAAUUCACAAUACGAAAGGAAUUCUGGACUACGUUCACAGUGAUGUGUGGGGACCUACCAAAGUAGCUUCUUUGGGAGGUAUGCACUAUUUUGUUACUUUUGUUGAUGAUUAUUCAAGAAAAGUAUGGGUGUAUCUAAUGAAAAGAAAAAGUGAAGUUUUGGAUGCAUUUCUGAAAUGGAAGAAGAUGGUGGAGACUCAGACUGGUCGAAAGGUCAAACGACUUCGAUCAGAUAAUGGUACAGAGUACAAAAACGAUCCAUUUCUACAAGUAUGCCAAGAUGAGGGCAUUGUGCGACACUUCACUGUUCGGGAUACACCACAGCAAAAUGGGGUGGCAGAAUGAAUGAAUCGAACUAUACUGGAGAAAGAUCGAUGUAUGUUGUCCAAUGCUGGAUUGGGCAAAGAAUUUUGGGCUGAGGCAGUUACAUAUGCGUGCCAUCUAAUUAACCAUUUGCCAUCAGCUGCAAUAAAUGGAAAAACUCCUAUGGAGAUGUGGACUAGUAAAUCUGCUACUGAUUAUGAUUCUUUGCAUGUAUUUGGUUCCACUGCAUAUUAUCAUGUAAAAGAAUCUAAGUUAGACCCAAGAGCAAAGAAAGCAUUAUUCUUGGGUAUAACUGAUGGAGUAAAAGGAUAUCGUCUCUGGUGUCCUGAUACAAGGAAGAUUGUUUUCAGUAGAGAUGUGACUUUUGAUGAAUCAACCAUGUUGAAGUACAAGGAUUCACAAAAGGAUGACAAAACCAGUAGUACUUUGCAGCAGGUGGAGCUUGAAAAGGUUAACGAUGAUCCAGCUAAUAUUGAAGGGACAAAUGAUGAAGAGGUUCCUACCCAAGAAUCUCUACAGCAACAAGAUUCAAUUGCAUAUAGAAGGCCAAGAAGAGAGAUUCGUAAGCCUGCUCGCUUUGAUGAUAUAGUGGCCUAUGCACUUCCAAUUACAGAUAAUGAUGUUCCUUCUACUUACACAGAAGUAAUAAGUAACCCUGAUGGUGUAAAGUGGAAGCAAGCAAUGAAUGAAGAAAUGCAGUCUCUUCAUAAAAAUAAGACCUGGGAGUUGGUGAUACUACCCAAGGGAAAGAAGGCAAUUGGAUGCAAAUGGGUAUAUGCAAAGAAGGAAGGAUUUCCUGAUAAAAAUGAAAUUCGAUACAAGGCUAGAUUAGUAGCAAAGGGUUACGCUCAGAAAGAAGGAAUAGACUACAAUGAAGUGUUUUCUCCAGUUGUGAAGCAUUCGUCUAUUCGGAUUUUGCUAGCCUUGGUUGCGCAAUAUGAUCUUGAACUAGUUCAGCUUGAUGUGAAGACCGCGUUUUUACACGGUGAUUUGGAAGAGGAAAUCUAUAUGACUCAGCCAGAUGGAUUCAAGGUUGCUGGAAAAGAAAAUUGGGUUUGCAAACUAACAAAGUCGCUUUAUGGAUUGAAGCAAUCUCCGAGGCAGUGGUACAAGCGAUUUGAUCAGUUCAUGAAAUGGCAAAGGUACACAAGAAGUAAAUUUGAUCAUUGCGUGUAUUUUCAGAAGCUACAAGAAGGAACUUUCAUAUACUUGCUCUUAUAUGUUGAUGAUAUGCUAAUAGUAUCUAAGAGCAAAGUUGAGAUUGAAAGAUUGAAGACUCAACUCAAUCUCGAGUUUGAGAUGAAAGAUCUAGGAGAAGCUAAAAAGAUUCUCGGCAUGGAAAUAUGGAGAGAUAGAGCUCAUGAUAGAGUUAGCUUGUCUCAGAAGCAGUAUUUGAAAAAGGUACUACAGCAGUUUGGCAUGAACGAGCAGACAAAACCUGUAAGUACCCCAUUGGCUUCUCUUUUCAAGCUUUCUGCACAACUAUCUCCUUCGACGAAUACGGAACGAGAAUACAUGUUGCAAGUUCCGUAUUCUAAUGCAGUAGGUAGCUUGAUGUAUGCAAUGGUGUGUACAAGACCCGACAUUUCACAGGCAGUUAGUAUAGUGAGCAGGUAUAUGCAUAAUCCUGGAAAAGGACAUUGGCAAGCUGUGAAAUGGAUUCUACGGUAUAUUCAUAAGACCAUGGAUAUUGGAUUACUGUUCAAGCAGGAUACUACACUUGGUAAAUGUGUUGUUGGGUACGUUGAUUCUGAUUAUGCCGGUGAUUUGGACAAACGAAGAUCAACCACUGGUUAUGUGUUUACUCUUGCUGGAAGACCAAUAAGUUGGAAGUCUACACUGCAGUCUACAGUUGCGUUGUCAACCACAGAAGCUGAAUACAUGGCUGUAACAGAGGCUGUAAAGGAAGCUAUUUGGUUACAAGGUAUGGUUAAAACCUUGGGAUUGGUCCAGGAGCAUAUUAAUGUGUAUUGUGAUAGUCAAAGUGUUAUUCAUUUAGCAAAGAAUCAAGUCUAUCAUGCACGUACAAAGCAUAUCGAUGUACGUUUCCACUUUGUGCGGGAAAUUAUUGAUGAGGGGAAAAUUCACCUUCAGAAGAUUAAGACUGCAGAUAAUCCCGCAGAUAUGAUGACCAAGGUGGUAACAACAAUCAAGUUCGAACAUUGUUUGAACUUGAUCAAUAUUCUGCAUGUUUAACAGUUGAAGAAGGCACUAUCAAGUGUUGUUGACAAAGGCAGAGAGAAUUGUGUGAAGAUAAGAUUACUCGAAUCAAAUCUUCAAGGUGGAGAUUAUUGGGAAUUAUCCAUAUUUAUGGAAAAUCAAAGAUAUGGGUAUCAAAUAAUGGAAAGUCAAAGAUAUGGGUAUCAAAUAUUGGAAAGUCAAAGAUAUGGGUAUCAAAUAUUGGAAAGUCAAAGAUAUAGGUAUCGAGAUAUUGGUAUAAUAAAAUCUGAGAUAUUUGCAAUAAAUGGUCCCUAAAUUGUAAAGUGACUUUGCAAGUUGAUCCCUGAACCUCAACUAUAAAUAGGCAUAACCAUCUCUCAUUCUGUAUUUCAAACUUGCCAUUCUCUACUUAAGGCAUUG
rnacentral:lncRNA from 1 species